AAGUACGGUUGCUUCUUUCCUCCUGUGUGUUCAGAGGUUGGAGUUCCAGAUUCCCGAGCUGAAGCAACGUUUCAUGUCAUUUUUUCAAUGUCCUCACCUUCUGUGGGAUGGAAGAGAGAAACAGCUGGGCGUAGCUGAGUGUUCCCUGUCCUCUGAAGUGAAUUCUCCAUCCAGAGGUGGUGCUGCCCUCAGCCAGCUCCUUGCCUAGUAGGUGCUGUUCCACCCCCAGCUCUUCUCUCCUUCUUUUCCACACUAACCUGCCCUGCGUCUCCAUCUGAUCGAAGACUCUGCAAAAUGAGCCAGAUUCCUUGGAUGAAUGGUUCUUGACGAGGGCUCCACAUCUCAUGAUGAAUCUGCUCCGCUGUUAGGCCCAGAAGGGCACCAGCUGUGUGUGCGUGGUGCGCCUGGGUUAGUGUUUCCUGCAUCCUGGGCCCUCAGUGCUUUCUGCAUCCUGGCUGCUCAGCUCCACACCACAGACUCUGAGAUUGCUAAGUCCUGGAUAUGUGAGCAAGUGUACAAAAAACUAAGUGCCAUUAACAUCUCCAGAUACCGUACGCAUUCUAGUUGGGACCUUCCUCACUUUAAGACACAGAGUGAAUAACAAGGCAGUUUCAAGGUCUAUGACAAGUGGUCCCCAACCUUUUUGGCACCAGGGACCAGUUUCAUGGAAGGCAAUUUUUCCAUAGGCCGAGGGUCAGGGAAACAGUGUCAGAC
ensembl:lncRNA